rnacentral:rRNA from 1 species
AUUGAACGCUAGCGGCAGGCUUAACACAUGCAAGUCGAACGAGUGGCGGACGGGUGAGUAAUGUCUGGGAAACUGCCUAGUGGCGGGGGAUAACUACUGGAAACGGUAGCUAAUACCGCAUACCAUCAGAGGUGCCGAGAUGGGAUUAGCUUGUUGGUGGGGUAAAGGCUCACCAAGGCGACGAUCCCUAGCUGGUAUGAGAGGAUGACCAGCCACACUGGGACUGAGACACGGUCCAGACUCCUACGGGAGGCAGCAGUGGGGAAUAUUGCACAAUGGGCGCAAGCCUGAUGCAGCCAUGCCGCGUGUAUGAAGAAGGCCUUCGGGUUGUAAAGUACUUUCGGCGGAGAGGCGUUACCUGCAGAAGAAGCACCGGCUAACUCCGUGCCAGCAGCCGCGGUAAUUC